CUUGAAGCUGAAGAAAGAAAUGUCCACGGGAUAUUUACUGGAAAGAGAAUCGAGAAGAACCUGGUCGUGUGAUAUAUAUAUAUAUAUGUAUAAGAACAUGAAAGACAGGAAACAAGUAAGAGGUAAACUGAAUUGAAGGAUAUGAAGCUGAACAGACUGAAUUUCCCAGUCUUGAGAUGCAGCUGAGAAAGAAAACUGAAUUUUACAGGAUGAUCAACAUAACCCAGAAAUGAUUAGCACCGUAAAUUCCCAAG
rnacentral:misc_RNA from 1 species